CCGUGUACGUACAAGCAGUGGGAGCACGCUUAGGCGUGUGACUGCGUACCUUUUGUAUAAUGGGUCAGCGACUUAUAUUCUGUAGCAAGGUUAACCGAAUAGGGGAGCCGAAGGGAAACCGAGUCUUAACUGGGCGUUAAGUUGCAGGGUAUAGACCCGAAACCCGGUGAUCUAGCCAUGGGCAGGUUGAAGGUUGGGUAACACUAACUGGAGGACCGAACCGACUAAUGUUGAAAAAUUAGCGGAUGACUUGUGGCUGGGGGUGAAAGGCCAAUCAAACCGGGAGAUAGCUGGUUCUCCCCGAAAGCUAUUUAGGUAGCGCCUCGUGAAUUCAUCUCCGGGGGUAGAGCACUGUUUCGGCAAGGGGGUCAUCCCGACUUACCAACCCGAUGCAAACUGCGAAUACCGGAGAAUGUUAUCACGGGAGACACACGGCGGGUGCUAACGUCCGUCGUGAAGAGGGAAACAACCCAGACCGCCAGCUAAGGUCCCAAAGUCAUGGUUAAGUGGGAAACGAUGUGGGAAGGCCCAGACAGCCAGGAUGUUGGCUUAGAAGCAGCCAUCAUUUAAAGAAAGCGUAAUAGCUCACUGGUCGAGUCGGCCUGCGCGGAAGAUGUAACGGGGCUAAACCAUGCACCGAAGCUGCGGCAGCGACGCUUAUGCGUUGUUGGGUAGGGGAGCGUUCUGUAAGCCUGUGAAGGUGUGCUGUGAGGCAUGCUGGAGGUAUCAGAAGUGCGAAUGCUGACAUAAGUAACGAUAAAGCGGGUGAAAAGCCCGCUCGCCGGAAGACCAAGGGUUCCUGUCCAACGUUAAUCGGGGCAGGGUGAGUCGACCCCUAAGGCGAGGCCGAAAGGCGUAGUCGAUGGGAAACAGGUUAAUAUUCCUGUACUUGGUGUUACUGCGAAGGGGGGACGGAGAAGGCUAUGUUGGCCGGGCGACGGUUGUCCCGGUUUAAGCGUGUAGGCUGGUUUUCCAGGCAAAUCCGGAAAAUCAAGGCUGAGGCGUGAUGACGAGGCACUACGGUGCUGAAGCAACAAAUGCCCUGCUUCCAGGAAAAGCCUCUAAGCAUCAGGUAACAUCAAAUCGUACCCCAAACCGACACAGGUGGUCAGGUAGAGAAUACCAAGGCGCUUGAGAGAACUCGGGUGAAGGAACUAGGCAAAAUGGUGCCGUAACUUCGGGAGAAGGCACGCUGAUAUGUAGGUGAAGCGACUUGCUCGUGGAGCUGAAAUCAGUCGAAGAUACCAGCUGGCUGCAACUGUUUAUUAAAAACACAGCACUGUGCAAACACGAAAGUGGACGUAUACGGUGUGACGCCUGCCCGGUGCCGGAAGGUUAAUUGAUGGGGUCAGCGCAAGCGAAGCUCUUGAUCGAAGCCCCGGUAAACGGCGGCCGUAACUAUAACGGUCCUAAGGUAGCGAAAUUCCUUGUCGGGUAAGUUCCGACCUGCACGAAUGGCGUAAUGAUGGCCAGGCUGUCUCCACCCGAGACUCAGUGAAAUUGAACUCGCUGUGAAGAUGCAGUGUACCCGCGGCAAGACGGAAAGACCCCGUGAACCUUUACUAUAGCUUGACACUGAACAUUGAGCCUUGAUGUGUAGGAUAGGUGGGAGGCUUUGAAGUGUGGACGCCAGUCUGCAUGGAGCCGACCUUGAAAUACCACCCUUUAAUGUUUGAUGUUCUAACGUUGACCCGUAAUCCGGGUUGCGGACAGUGUCUGGUGGGUAGUUUGACUGGGGCGGUCUCCUCCUAAAGAGUAACGGAGGAGCACGAAGGUUGGCUAAUCCUGGUCGGACAUCAGGAGGUUAGUGCAAUGGCAUAAGCCAGCUUGACUGCGAGCGUGACGGCGCGAGCAGGUGCGAAAGCAGGUCAUAGUGAUCCGGUGGUUCUGAAUGGAAGGGCCAUCGCUCAACGGAUAAAAGGUACUCCGGGGAUAACAGGCUGAUACCGCCCAAGAGUUCAUAUCGACGGCGGUGUUUGGCACCUCGAUGUCGGCUCAUCACAUCCUGGGGCUGAAGUAGGUCCCAAGGGUAUGGCUGUUCGCCAUUUAAAGUGGUACGCGAGCUGGGUUUAGAACGUCGUGAGACAGUUCGGUCCCUAUCUGCCGUGGGCGCUGGAGAACUGAGGGGGGCUGCUCCUAGUACGAGAGGACCGGAGUGGACGCAUCACUGGUGUUCGGGUUGUCAUGCCAAUGGCACUGCCCGGUAGCUAAAUGCGGAAGAGAUAAGUGCUGAAAGCAUCUAAGCACGAAACUUGCCCCGAGAUGAGUUCUCCCUGAC
rnacentral:rRNA from 1 species